rnacentral:rRNA from 1 species
UACGUAGGGGGCAAGCGUUGUCCGGAUUUAUUGGGCGUAAAGAGCUCGUAGGCGGUCUGUCACGUCGGCUGUGAAAUCCCGAGGCUCAACCUCGGGUCUGCAGUCGAUACGGGCAAACUAGAGUAUUGCAGGGGAGACUGGAAUUCCUGGUGUAGCGGUGAAAUGCGCAGAUAUCAGGAGGAACACCGGUGGCGAAGGCGGGUCUCUGGGCAAUAACUGACGCUGAGGAGCGAAAGCGUGGGGAGCAAACAGG